CCUACGGGAGGCAGCAGUGAGGAAUAUUGGUCAAUGGCCGGAAGGCUGAACCAGCCAUGCCGCGUGAAGGUCAGUGCCCUAUGGGCGUUAAACUUCUUUUGUGCGGGAGCAAUAAUGGUCACGUGUGGCCAGACGAGAGUACCGUACGAAUAAGCAUCGGCUAACUCCGUGCCAGCAGCCGCGGUAAUACGGGGGAUGCAAGCGUUAUCCGGAUUUAUUGGGUUUAAAGGGUGCGUAGGCUGGGAGGUAAGUCAGCGGUGAAAUGCCCCCGCUCAACGGGGUGAAGUGCCAUUGAUACUGCCUUGCUGGAAUGCGGAUGCGGUGGGAGGAAUGUGUGGUGUAGCGGUGAAAUGCAUAGAUAUCACACAGAACACCGAUUGCGAAGGCAGCUCACGAGUCCGCGAUUGACGCUGAUGCACGAAAGCGUGGGUAUCAAACAGGAUUAGAUACCCGUGUAGUC
rnacentral:rRNA from 1 species